AAAUUGAAGAGUUUGAUCAUGGCUCAGAUUGAACGCUGGCGGCAGGCCUAACACAUGCAAGUCGAACGGUAACAGGAAGCAGCUUGCUGCUUUGCUGACGAGUGGCGGACGGGUGAGUAAUGUCUGGGAAACUGCCUGAUGGAGGGGGAUAACUACUGGAAACGGUGGCUAAUACCGCAUAACGUCGCAAGACCAAAGAGGGGGACCUUCGGGCCUCUUGCCAUCAGAUGUGCCCAGAUGGGAUUAGCUUGUUGGUGAGGUAACGGCUCACCAAGGCGACGAUCCCUAGCUGGUCUGAGAGGAUGACUAGCCACACUGGAACUGAGACACGGUCCAGACUCCUACGGGAGGCAGCAGUGGGGAAUAUUGCACAAUGGGCGCAAGCCUGAUGCAGCCAUGCCGCGUGUAUGAAGAAGGCCUUCGGGUUGUAAAGUACUUUCAGCGGGGAGGAAGGUGUUGUGGUUAAU
rnacentral:rRNA from 1 species